AUUGAACGCUGGCGGCAGGCCUAACACAUGCAAGUCGAGCGAGCGGCGGACGGGUGAGUAACGUAGGGGGACUGCUCGAUAGAGGGGGAUAAUUACUGGAAACGGUGGCUAAUACCGCAUACUAUCGGAUAACCCAUAUGGGAUUAUCUAGUAGGUGGGGUAAAGGCUCACCUAGGCGACGAUCACUAGCUGGUCUGAGAGGAUGCUCAGCCACACUGGGACUGAGACACGGCCCAGACUCCUACGGAGGCAGCAGUGGGGAAUAUGGCGCAAUGGGCGAAAGCCUGAAGCAGCCAUGCCGCGUGUAUGAAGAAGGCCUUAGGGUUGUAAAGUACUUUGAGCGGGGAAGCGUUACCCAAAGAGGAAGCACCGGCUAACUCCGUGCCAGCAGCCGCGGUAAUUC
rnacentral:rRNA from 1 species